rnacentral:lncRNA from 1 species
UUUUACACUUCAAGAAUCUGCUCUGCUCUCAGCUCCUAUAGGCUUAUGGCUUUGAUUUCAAGUGAUGUCAUUGAUUUACCCAAACCCGAGCAGCAUCUCUGAAGUUUGUGAUCCUGUGCCUCCUCCCAGUGCCAUCUGGCUUUGAACCAGUGAUACUCUGUAUCUGGGUAGCUGACCUACACUCUAAGGCACAUCCUGUACUACAUUUUGAGAUCCAGUCAUCUUCUAGGGACUGAUGCAAGUUGUGUGGCUCUAUGCUGAUUUGUGUCAAGUAAGAAGGAAGCAACUUGGAAGUCUGUGAAGAACAGGAUCAUCUCUUGAAGCAGGUAGAGUAGGGAAGAAAAAGGUAAAUGGAAUUAAGAGAUACUUAGAAUAAUAUUAGACAAAAACAAGUGGCCAGACCGUGGUGUCCAAACUUUUGACAGCUUGGCAUAAUAUUGCUAAUAUGCAAAUGUUGGCAACAUUCAGAACUGUGUUGGGAUGCAUGCAACCCAUGGGAUACAGAUUAGACAUG